rnacentral:rRNA from 1 species
UGGGGAAUCUUCCGCAAUGGACGAAAGUCUGACGGAGCAACGCCGCGUGAGUGAAGAAGGUUUUCGGAUCGUAAAACUCUGUCUUUUGGGGCGAACGUGAGUAUGGUGAACAAUCAUAGUCAGUGACGGUACCAAAGGAGGAAGCCACGGCUAACUACGUGCCAGCAGCCGCGGUAAUACGUGGGUGGCAAGCGUUGUCCGGAAUUAUUGGGCGUAAAGAGCGCGUAGGCGGGAUAGUCAGUCUGUUGUAAAGUGCGGGGCUCAACCCCGUGAUGGCAAUGGAAACAGCUAUUCUUGAGUGCAGGAGAGGAAAGUGGAAUUCCCAGUGUAGCGGUGAAAUGCGUAGAUAUUGGGAGGAACACCAGUGGCGAAGGCGACUUUCUGGACUGUGUCUGACGCUGAGGCGCGAAAGCCAGGGGAGCGAACGGGAUUAGAUACCCCGGUAGUCCUGGCCGUAAACGAUGGGUACUAGGUGUGGGAGGUAUCGACCCCUUCCGUGCCGGAGUUAACGCAAUAAGUACCCCCGCCUGGGGAGUACGGUCGCAAGACUGAAACUUAAAUGAAUUGACGGGGUCAAGCUGUUUCCUG